GCCUCCUCCCGUUCCUCAGCUCCAACUGAGGAAAACGCCAGCGAAAGCAUCGCCGGAGGGGGGGAAGGUCCUUGGCUAACACCUGAAUCAUAGGAGUCAACACCCAAUCAAUUAGACUGUGAUAUACAUUUGAAUGAAUAGAAUAAUCGGAAUAUAAAAUCAAGUGGUGCAAACAUGCAAAAAAGAACAUGUUUCUGGACUCUCCUCUG